UUUUUAUUGGACAUUGACCGUCACGUGUCACGUUUUUAUUGGACGUUAAUUUCAUGCACCUAAUUUGCACAAACCUCCAAUAAAGCAUGACACGUGACGGUCAACGUUC
rfam:Glycine soja cultivar W05 scaffold1183_3, whole genome shotgun sequence.